AUUGAACGCUGGCGGCAGGCCUAACACAUGCAAGUCGAGCGGAGCGGCGGACGGGUGAGUAAUGCCUAGGAAUCUGCCUGGUAGUGGGGGAUAACGUCCGGAAACGGGCGCUAAUACCGCAUACUAUCAGAUGAGCCUAGGUCGGAUUAGCUAGUUGGUGGGGUAAAGGCCUACCAAGGCGACGAUCCGUAACUGGUCUGAGAGGAUGAUCAGUCACACGGGAACGGGAACAGAGUCCAGACUCCUACGGAAGGAAGCAGAGGGGAAUAUUGGACAAUGGGCGAAAGCCUGAUCCAACCAUGCGGCGUGUGUGAAAAAGGUCUUCGGAUUGUAGAGCACUUUAAGUUGGGAGGCGUUACCAACAGAAUAAGCACCGGCUAACUUCGUGCCAGCGGCCGCGGUAAUUC
rnacentral:rRNA from 1 species